UGUGUGUGUGUGUGUGUGUGUGUGUUUUACACAGCCCAACCCAGAAGACUCGUCAUACUGGAAAUCUCAAAUACUGGAGGUCAAACACAGCUUGCCUGCACAGCAGCGAGUCACUCAGUAGUCCACAACAACUGUGGGACAGGACCGAGCUCUCAAAACUUCACACAAGUCUAUGUGAGGAGGGGUCCAGGGGAACAAAGCUACAAACUAAGUCAGAAUGAGCGCUUCAGAGGAAACGAUGGCGGUUCUCCAGAACGUCUGGACCAAACUGCAGGGUCUUCCUCAAGCCCACCCGCUCAUGCAGACGGCAUUUUCCAUCAUACUGCUGUUCUUCUUGACAUGCAUCGCUCUGAUGGUGACUGGAUGUGUUUAUGACUGCUGUGUCUGCUGUAAGACAGGGACCAGAAACAGAGUCUCUGCCAUCUGAAACAUGGGCUACACAAUAAAGAGGAAGAGCCGAGCAGAGCACAGUGGGCUGAAACUAAACUGUGAUAACACACACAGUACAGUGAUCAGAGAAAGCGGCUCACGCUGUAAAGCUGCAUGAAUACAUGACAUUCAUCAGCAACAGUCAAUGAAGAUCUUCAAAUGAGAAACAUUUUCCAUCUUCAUUAUGAAGGUCACAAAUAAACACUGAAUUCCCAACUUCUCUCAUUAUGAAAACAGUGUAAAAAACUGUCCUCUGGUGUUUGAUUACACGACUGCAGAGAAGAAGAAACCAGAGGAGGACUGGACCGUCGUGUGAAGAUCAAAUGCUGUUCUGUUGUACUUUCUGUUCAUCAAAGGACCCUGAAAAAACAGUUAUUUUACAUUUCAAUAUUAUUUCAAUAUAUUACUGUUUUUGUUACAGUAUUUUAAUGGAAUAAAUGCAGCCUUGAUGAGCAGAAGAGAUUUCUUUAGAAAAAAUGUAUGUUAGCUAACGUUAAUGUAAUAUUCAAGAAAAAUGGUACGAAUGUUGACUUAUCAUGUUGUAGUAAGAUUGAGGAAAUCUUGGUGAGAUAAUCAAAUAUGCAAAAAAAAAUACCAAAUUCUUAAAAUGACAUGUAUUUGAUGUAUAUAAAGUGAACAAAAAUAUUCAUGUUUUCUGAAUGGCGUUAUUGCUUUAUUAAACAUUUAUUACACCCUU